rnacentral:siRNA from 1 species
UCCUGACAAGUUCAAGUGUC